GCGUGAGCGAUGAAGGCCUUAGGGUCGUAAAACUCUUUCGCUAGGGAUGAUAAUGACAGUACCUAGUAAAGAAACCCCGGCUAACUCCGUGCCAGCAGCCGCGGUAAUACGGAGGGGGUUAGCGUUGUUCGGAAUUACUGGGCGUAAAGCGCGCGUAGGCGGAUUAGUCAGUCAGAGGUGAAAUCCCAGGGCUCAACCCUGGAACUGCCUUUGAUACUGCUAGUCUUGAGUUCGAGAGAGGUGAGUGGAAUUCCGAGUGUAGAGGUGAAAUUCGU
rnacentral:rRNA from 1 species